AAUUCUGCGACCUCUAGCCUUGGAUGAUGAACUUCUGUCCGUGUCUUUGUUAGUUGGUAGCUCGUUUAGUCCCCAUGGGCGAGGUAAUAAUAAUUAUUUUUCUUUUCGUCGUUACUAUUGGUUACUCUUUGACACAAUUAUAAUUUUUUUAACUAGGUCAUUUUAUUCAUUUUAGCACAAGGUACAUAAAAUCCAAAUAAUCAUUUUUUAAUUCAACGACUUUGAGGUAAACAUUGGCAUGGUAAAUGACAUUGGCCUCAAUUGUGAGCACUUGUGUGUUCAAAAUUAGUACCUUUGGAUCCAAUUCCUGGACAUUUGUCCUUUUGUUCAAAACACCUGUUUGGAAUUAUAAACAAUUUUGGUAAGUGUUUAAUUAUGAUCCAAGUCAGGCUCAUGUUAAGGACUGUUUGUAUUUAAAUGAGAACUUUGGGCUGUAAGUUAGCCUUUACCAAUUUGUGUGCUAAACUCAGUGUUUGUCCAAAAACAUGACAUUCCAACAGCCUUUUCCGUAUCACAAAUAUCUGAUUGAUUUUACUGUGGAAAGUGACACUUUUCAAAGUAGGUUUCAGCAUCAUUGGUUGGAUUAAUCAAAAACUUUGUUAGUUAUGGUAAUAUUGUUGUCAUUUUUUAGAUCCCUUCUGUCAGUCGGGAAAUACUGAUAAUUCAGCUCUCAUUAAAAGGUUAAAAAAAUCAAUUUUUAUAUUUUAUUAGUUUUUUUGAAUAUUUAGUUCUUUGUAUUCAAAAUUUCAUGGAUAUGAAACAUGAUUAGGAAAUUUUCUAGUCAAACUUGACAUGUAAAUGGCUCUUUCAAUUGAACCACAGUAAACAAAAUUUAAUUCAAGAUUGUAAACAGAGGAUACUGAUAAUCACCAGGGCUUAUGGUUGAUUAGUAAAUAAUGAUUUUGGUUUUAUGGGUAGAGUGUUGGCAAAGACAGGUAGAAGAUAUAAGAUAGCUCAACUCUAACAAUAAUAAUGGUGAAAACCCAUGGACUUCACAAAUGUAAUGGAAAGAUCCACAGGUCUGAAGAUUGAAACUUGAUAUGAUAUAUUUCCUGAAAGGAUUGGCCCACUUCAAAGAUGUGCAAUCCAUGUUAUUACAGAUACUAAUAUUGUAGCUGAUCCACAGACCGUCGAGUAACUGGGCGGCUGCCGUGCUGAUCAAGCCACUAUCCUCUAUUAACCAGACUGUUGAAAUCUGAGAGCAUAUCUCCACUUUCACGUCUUUACAUCAAUCGGUAGAAGAAGUAGUUUGAAAAAUAAUAUCAGUCGUAGCUCAGUGGAAGGCAAUGGCUGUGCAAUCAUUAACUCUUGGGUACGAUCCCCAUGUAGAUUGUGUUGAAAUGUUGUUUACUUUGAUAGAAUGUAAAUGCACCUUGAAGUGGUGUGGAUCAAGUGGAAUAUGGCUAUGUGAAAAAUAAUUGAAAGGAAAAGCUUCAAAUGAAAUUCCAGGAGAUACCCAAAAAGAAACAAAAUCAAAUAUAAAGAUAAUAUGGAUUAAAAACUUUU